AAUAAUUUUUUUGUAUUGAUGAUAGGAUACAAACAAUAACACAUAACACUUAUUGACAAUUUGGGAUAACAGCAGUUUAUUAGACAUUGAUAUACAGUGGAUAAUAGGGUCAAUUAGAUGAUACUUGUCAUAGAAUCACGACGUGUCAGCGAUCAUCACUACAACGCCGCAUAGAUCUUUACAUAGUCCAUAUUCUUUCGCUCAUUUUGUCGUCAAGGAGAGUUUUGCUCACACGUACCCGCGGAAGGCACAGUACGAUGCGGCGCCGCCGUCGAUAUAUAAAGAGGAGAGUUCUGUUCUGCAAAUGCGCUCCAGGGAACUGAUCCAGCUGUUGCUCGUCCUUCGGAUUUUUCGUUUGCCAUUUUAAUCAAGACCUUCACAGGAAGGAAGUUCUGGGGUACAGUCUGUGCAAGCAGGAAAUCCACGGCGAGGAGGAUUUUUCCUCGGAUUUUUUCUUACCAGACUUUGUCAAAAUCGAAUUACUAUGAAGUAUUGAUAAAAAUAACUCAAAGUAUCGUGAAAAUAGUUUCAAUUCGAAAUUAUGUGUU